rnacentral:rRNA from 1 species
UGGCGGACGGGGGAGUAAUGUCUGGGAAACUGCCUGAUGGAGGGGGGUAACUACUGGAAACGGUAGCUAAUACCGCAUAACGUCGCAAGACCAAAGAGGGGGACCUUAGGGCCUCUUGCCAUCGGAUGUGCCCAGAUGGGAUUAGCUAGUAGGUGGGGUAAAGGCUCACCUAGGCGACGAUCCCUAGCUGGUCUGAGAGGAUGACCAGCCACACUGGAACUGAGACACGGUCCAG